rnacentral:rRNA from 1 species
GACGAACGCUGGCGGCGUGCUUAACACAUGCAAGUCGAACGGAAAGGCCCUGCUUUUGUGGGGUGCUCGAGUGGCGAACGGGCGAGUAACACGUGAGUAACCUGCCCUUGACUUUGGGAUAACUUCAGGAAACUGGGGCUAAUACCGGAUAGGAGCUCCUGCUGCAUGGUGGGGGUUGGAAAGUUUCGGCGGUUGGGGAUGGACUCGCGGCUUAUCAGCUUGUUGGUGGGGUAGUGGCUUACCAAGGCUUUGACGGGUAGCCGGCCUGAGAGGGUGACCGGCCACAUUGGGACUGAGAUACGGCCCAGACUCCUACGGGAGGCAGCAGUGGGGAAUAUUGCACAAUGGGCGGAAGCCUGAUGCAGCAACGCCGCGUGCGGGAUGACGGCCUUCGGGUUGUAAACCGCUUUCGCCUGUGACGAAGCGUGAGUGACGGUAAUGGGUAAAGAAGCACCGGCUAACUACGUA